rnacentral:rRNA from 1 species
UGGGGAAUUUUGGACAAUGGGCGAAAGCCUGAUCCAGCAAUGCCGCGUGUGUGAAGAGGGCCUUCGGGUUGUAAAGCACUUUUGUCCGGAAAGAAAUCCUUGGCUCUAAUACAGUCGGGGGAUGACGGUACCGGAAGAAUAAGCACCGGCUAACUACGUGCCAGCAGCCGCGGUAAUACGUAGGGUGCAAGCGUUAAUCGGAAUUACUGGGCGUAAAGCGUGCGCAGGCGGUUUGCUAAGACCGAUGUGAAAUCCCCGGGCUCAACCUGGGAACUGCAUUGGUGACUGGCAGGCUAGAGUAUGGCAGAGGGGGGUAGAAUUCCACGUGUAGCAGUGAAAUGCGUAGAGAUGUGGAGGAAUACCGAUGGCGAAGGCAGCCCCCUGGGCCAAUACUGACGCUCAUGCACGAAAGCGUGGGGAGCAAACAGGAUUAGAUACCCUGGUAGUCCACGCCCUAAAACGAUGUCAACUAGUUGUUGGGGAUUCAUUUCCUUAGUAACGUAGCUAACGCGUGAAGUUGACCGCCUGGGGAGUACGGUCGCAAGAUUAAAACUUAAAGGAAUUGACGGGGUCAUAGCUGUUUCCU